rnacentral:rRNA from 1 species
GAACGAGUAGAGCGGCGGACGGGUGAGUAACGCGUGGGAAAUUGCCCAGUAGUGGGGGACAACAUUCGGAAACGGAUGCUAAUACCGCAUACGCCCUACGGGGGAAAGCAGGGGAUCUUCGGACCUUGUGCUAUUGGAUAUGCCCGCGUCGGAUUAGCUAGUUGGUGAGGUAAUGGCUCACCAAGGCAACGAUCCGUAGCUGGUCUGAGAGGAUGAUCAGCCACACUGGGACUGAGACACGGCCCAGACUCCUACGGGAGGCAGCAGUGGGGAAUAUUGGACAAUGGGCGCAAGCCUGAUCCAGCCAUGCCGCGUGUGUGAAGAAGGCUCUAGGGUUGUAAAGCACUUUCAGUAGGGAGGAAGGCCUUAAAGUUAAUACCUUUGAGGAUUGACGUUACCUACAGAAGAAGCACCGGCUAACUCCGUGCCAGCAGCCGCGGUAAUACGGAGGGUGCGAGCGUUAAUCGGAAUUACUGGGCGUAAAGCGCGCGUAGGCGGUUAGUUAAGCUGGAUGUGAAAGCCCCGGGCUCAACCUGGGAACUGCAUUCAGAACUGGCUGGCUAGAGUACGAGAGAGGGUAGUGGAAUUUCCUGUGUAGCGGUGAAAUGCGUAAUAUAGGAAGGAACAUCCGU